rnacentral:rRNA from 1 species
UACGUAGGGUCCGAGCGUUGUCCGGAAUUACUGGGCGUAAAGAGCUCGUAGGUGGUUUGUCGCGUUGUUCGUGAAACUCACAGCUCAACUGUGGGCGUGCGGCGAUACGGGCAGACUAGAGUACUGCAGGGAGACUGGGAAUUCCUGGUGUAGCGGUGAAAUGCGCAGAUAUCAGGAGGAACACCGGUGGCGAAGGCGGGUCUCUGGGCAGUAACUGACGCUGGAGACGCGAAAGCGUGGGAGCAAACAGG